rnacentral:misc_RNA from 1 species
UCCGGUUUGUCACCGGCAGUCUGGCGUGAGUCCCCAACUUAAUGCUGGCAACACGCCACGGGGGUUGCGCUCGUUGCGGGACUUAACCCAACAUCUCACGACACGAGCUGACGAUAGCCAUGCACCACCUGUGACGGUGCCCCGAAGGGAAACCGUGUUUCCACGGCUGUCACCGACAUGUCAAGCCCAGGUAAGGUUCUUCGCGUUGCGUCGAAUUAAACCACAUGCUCCGCUGCUUGUGCGGGUCCCCGUCAAUUCCUUUGAGUUUUAGCCUUGCGGCCGUACUUCCCAGGCGGGGAACUUAAUGCGUUAGCUGCGGCACGGACCACGUGGAAUGUGACCCACACCUAGUUCCCAACGUUUACGGCGUGGACUAC